CUACAUCCGUCCCUGAGCUACCUAAAUAAUUAAUUUUACUCGGUCCCGGCAUCAGCAUUACCGUGUGAGGUACUUGUGCAAGGAAAUGGAAAUUUCGUAGUAAACUCACCUAAUCCUCUAGUGUCUCUGCAGUGUCUGAAUUUUUCUAUAUACAUACAGAAUAAGAAACUGAACGAUAUAUCAUUCUGUUCAACUAAGUUUCUAUUUUGUCUUAAACAUAUUUUCUUGCUGGGGUUCUGAUUAAUAAGCUAUCAAGAGUUAUGGGUGAUCCAGCUUCAAUUUUUGUGCAGCCUCUAGUGAGUAAUAUCAUUGACGCUGCGGGAUCCUUGAUCAAGGAAGGGUUUCUUGCAGUCCAGGGUGUCAAGAAGGAGGUAGAAAAGCUGUCAAGCAAUCUAAUCACCAUCCAAUCUGUGCUUAAAGAUGCCGAGGAGAGGCAACUGGAUGAACCACCUGUGAAACACUGGCUUUCAAAGCUUAAAAAUGCAGCUUGUGACAUAGAGGACAUACUGGACACCUAUGCAACAGAAACUUUCCUUUGGAAGAGAAAGCAGCAGGUACGCAGUUUCCGAACUCCAUUAAGUCUAAGCAAGGCUUGCUUUGAAUCCAAUGUUGCAUAUAAGAUCAUCGAAAUUUCAGCAGAACUUGCUGCAAUUGCUGAGGAGAAAAACAAAUUCCAUCUCAACAUAAUUAGUGAUUGUGGAAAGUCCCAAAACCCUCCAGACACCACUUUCUUUUUGGACACAGUAAAUGUCUUUGGUAGAGAGUCUGAUAAACAAACAUUAAUAAAUCUGAUGCUAUCAAAUGAAUUUCAUAUAGAAGGUGAUGUUUCUGUCAUUCCUAUUGUGGGGAUGGGAGGCCUAGGCAAAACAACUCUAGCUCAACUUAUCUUCCAUGAUGAGAGAGUAAAGAAUCAUUUUGAUUUUACGAUGUGGGUCUGUGUCACAGUUGAGUUCAAUUAUAGAAGGAUACUCAAGGAAAUGAUAAAAUUUCUCCCCGAAGUGGAGUAUUCUAACGAGUUACACACAAGCGAACUAGAGGCACACAUCAUAAAAUUCUUGGCUGGGAAAAACUUUCUGCUUGUUUUAGAUGAUGUUUGGGCUGAAGAUUACCGAGAAUGGGAGCCACUUCAAAACCUUUUGAAACAAGGAGGUAAGGGCAGUAGAGUUUUGGUCACCACUCGAAUCACCAAAGUGUCAGACAUUAUGGGAACACAACCUCCCUACAGAUUGGAUUAUUUGCCCAAGGAUGAAUGUUGGUCAUUGUUUAAAAAAAUUGCUUUCAAAGACUAUAGUUCAUUGGGUGGCAUCCAUGCAGAAUUGGAAAACAUUGGUAGGAAAAUUGUAGGGAAGUGUAACGGCUUGCCAUUGGCAGUAAAGGCAAUGGGAGGUCUCCUGCGUGGUAAUGUUGAUGUAAACAAAUGGAAGAAAAUCUUAAGACAUAACAUUUGCGAGCUAGAGGAUGGGAACUUUGACAGGCCUAAAAUUCUGCCUGCCUUAAAAUUGAGUUAUGACUACCUACCUUCUAAUCUAAAGCAGUGUUUUGCAUAUUGCUCCUUAUUUCCAAAGGCCAAUGUUUUUGAUAGAAAGGAGUUGGUCAAGCUUUGGAUGGCUGAAGCAUUCAUUCAAUCAAAUGCACAACAAAGUUUGGAGGAGGCUGCAAUUGAAUGUUUUGAUGAAUUGUUAACAAGGUCUUUCUUUCAAAUUUUAAACAUAAACAACAAGGUGGGAUAUACUAUGCAUGACCUUAUGCAUGACUUGGCUCUAUCAGUUUCAACCCCCCAAUGCUGCCUAGUUGAGCAUGGCAAAUCCGGAAUUUUCUGUGAAGAAACUCGUCAUGUUUCAUUUCAGUCUAAAUAUUUAGAGAAUUCUAUCUUACAGAUAGUUGAAAAUUCUAAAAAGCUGCGGACAUUCCUACUGCAUGGUGAGUACGUGAAACACCUGGGGCAGACUCUUGAUAAGAUGUUUCAUUCUCAAAAAUACAUUCGUGUUUUGGACCUAAGUUUAAGCGAUAUUGUAGAAUUGCCAAGUUCUAUAGAAGAGUUGAAGCUACUACGGUACCUGGACCUCUCUAGAACACAGAUCAAAUUGCUUCCCAACUCGAUUUGUAACCUUUACAAUCUGCAGACACUUAAACUUCUAGGGUGCCUUUGGCUUUUUGAAUUGCCUGAGGACCUUGGCAACUUGGUUAACCUGCAUUAUCUUGAGCUAGAUGAGAUGUUUUGGUUCAACUGCAGGAUGCUGCCAUCAAAAAUGGGAAACUUAACCACUCUAAAGAAAUUGAAUGCAUUUUUUGAAAGUGGCACAAGUGGACACGGAAUUGCAAAACCGAAUGAGGCGGCAUACCUUACUGAGGCAGCAUACCUUACUGCACUGCAUACGUUAAAGCCAGGAAAUGCAGUGAAUGAAGCAGACACAAAUUUAAAGGAGAAGAAGAGCCUCAAGAAACAGGUUUUAGACUGGAGUGGUAGAGACUUCAACGAACAAGAUAAAGUCAAAGCAGAGAGGGAGCUUAAAGACCUCAAACGCCACUCAAAUCUCGAAGAUCUGGCAAUUCAUCACUUUAUAGGCUCGAAUUUUCCUUCUUGGAUGACAGAUGGUUUGCUCCAAAAUUUGGUUACACUUUCCUUAUAUCAUUGCACUAAGUGCAAAAUAUUGUCUCUCGGUCAGUUACCCUGUCUUAGAGAGCUCUACAUCAAAGGGAUGCAGGAGCUUGAGGAAUGGCCAGAAGAUCAAUACACCUCAUUGUGUACGCUGCAUAUUAUAAACUGCCUCAAGCUGAGGAAGGUACCGAGCUUCAUGUCCCAUUUAAGAUUUCUCAAGGUAAAGAGGUGUGACUCGUUGAAGGCUCUUCCAAUGGCUUCCUCUCUGUUGUUUUUAAUACUUAUUAACAACCUUGUUCUGGAGGAUUGGCAAGAAGGAAGGUGCAUCGCCAAAUGUGAUCAAGGCAACCUUGUUGGCCAACCCAAUCCUGCUUUUGUUGGUCCUUUGGAAUUGAAACUGGUAAACUGCCCCAAGAUCCAAGCACUGCCUCGACUGUGUGCUCUACAAAAACUGGAGAUAAGUGGAUGUGAACUUGUAAGUGUCUUUCCUGUCCCACAGGUUGCUCAGCGUCUUCUGCAUUUAGCUCUAGACACAUGUUCUAGUGUAACACUAGUGAGGGCAAUACCCAAUACCAGUUCUCUCCACUCUUUGGUCAUUUCAAACAUCUCAGACCUAAUCUUUUUCCCAAAACUACCCCAUCUUCUGGGUCUUAAGGCUUUAUACAUCAGUGAUUGCAAAUCCCUCACUUCUCUGUCUGAAGCAAAAGAAUCCUUGCAAAGCCUGUCCUCUCUCCAACUACUCUCAAUUCAAGGCUGUCCAAUGCUUGAAUCAUUGCCAGAUGAAGGUUUACCAACAGCACUUGAGUGUCUGAUGAUUGGCUCAUGCCCGCUUCUAAAGUCUCUAGGUGCCAAAGAGACCUUGAAGAGACUCCUUUUACUCAAGGACUUGUAUAUGGAGGAUUGUCCCUUGAUCCAGUGCUUUCCAGAGGAGGGGCUUCCUCCCUCUCUGCAACAUUUGAAGAUUCAUGGGUGUCCCCUACUGAUAGAAGAAUGCCAAAAAGAGGGUGCAGGAGCUACAGAAUGGUCAAUGAUCAUUCAUGUCCCAGACCUCGAAAUUGACUCCAUCCAGCUAUCUUCCACCCAGAUGCGCCAAAGAACAAGGCAAGGAUUCGUUGAUUUGUUUGCUUUAAAGGUGAGUACGAUAUUCCUUUCUAAUAUUUUUAUGCCAAAAAAUAUUUAAAAAUAAUUGAUUUCUUCUGUUCCUUGCAAACAAGACUUAGUUUGUUUUCUCCUUUGCUCCAUAAUCGCAUAAAAGUUUGAAUUUCAUUUGGUCAAUACCUAAAGCAGUUAGUCAAAGUUGGCCAUUAAUCCAAGUAAAGAUUCCUUUUAUAUGUUUACAUAUAUAUAAUAGCUUAGAAUGAAAAGAUUCCUUCCAAUGCUAUUUUAGAAGACAAUCCAAGCUAUUUAGUUCGUAGAAGUUACUAAGGAAAAUAGUAAGCCAUUCCAAGCAAGUAUACUGGCAAAUUGAGCAGAAACUUUCUACGAAACAUAGGCACAGGUGUAGUUGCAUGCAUUCAAAACUAAGCAUGCAAAAUAGGUUUAUCUAUGAGGAGAAAAAUGACGGACAAAUAGUGUUAACUCAUUACCCGAGUAAGCUCCACCACACUAUAAGAAAAAAGUUCAAUAUGAACUCUAUAUACUUCUAACCUUGCUAACAUUAAAUUAACUCACAUCAAUGGUAUGUGGAUGAUCAUCUAAUCAUGCACAGAGAGAAGAGAGAGGAAGAGAGAGAGAGAGAGAGAGAGAGAGUAUGAAAGCUAUUGCAACAAAGGAUGCCUGUAAACAUUGUUCUUGUUGUUCUGGGAAAUUGGAAUCAUCAUGAAUAUUUGUUGAUAGAUUAGGCUUACAAUGUUAUGUUGAGCUAUGUUUAGGGUUCAUAUCAGUGACUGCAAAGGCAUCACUUCUUUGUCUGUAGAAAUAGGUUCAUUGAAAAGCUUGUCCUCUCUCAAGGUGCUCUCUAUCCGAGGCUUUUCAAAGCUUGAAUCAUUGGUAGAUGAAGGACUGCCAACAGCAAUUGACAGCCUGGUGAUUGCCUCAUGCCCCAUUCUAAAAUCUCCAGAUACCAAAGAGACCUUAAAGAGCCUCUUACUCAAGGACUUCUAUUUUGAUGAUUGUCCCAGUCCUUUGCUGAGGAUGGGCUACCUACCUCUCUCGGCCAAAGAUCAUGCAUGUUAGAGACCAGAUGUUAAUUGAACUCUGAAGAAAAAAAAUUAAUUGCUUUAAGUAUAAAGAUGGACCAACCGAUGCAUGUAUGUGUUUUGACGGGCUGUAAAGUUAUUGGCGAUUCAAGGAAUUGCUUUCGAGAUUCAAGGAUGCAAGAAUCAAUCAUACUUGUCCAGAGGCAAUAGAAGGAUAGAUAGCAUUUCAAAUCAAGGUCAUGAUCAACAACUACCAUUCUGCCAAUUGUAAGAAUAAAUUUCUUUAUCAGCUAGCAUUUCACAUGGAGGAAAACCAUUAUUGGUAAAACUCUUCCAAAGUGAGUUUUCAUGUAAUAUGUACAUAAAUGUUUUAAAUAAAAUAAUCAUACAAAGUUAGCAUGCAAUUAUUCCUACAACAUUCUGAUGGAGAUGAGGAGAGAGGCUCCAGAAAAAUGCACUUUAAAAGAACUUAGCUAUGAUGAUUCUGGUGGAAAGUUUAUGAAUUCUUGCCACAUAGAUUCUCAUGGCAAUUUUCUCCCAUGCUCAAAGAGUGAAAACAGCUUAUCAUAUUGAUCCCUCAACCUAUAGAUGAUCAAUGGUUUGGAUCUCAACAUCAUUUCAUAUUCGGCCUGUUACCAAUAAUCUCUGCAUGAACACUCCGUCUUUGAAAUGGUGAAAUCUGCUAUUAUCCCUCACGAUUAUCUCUCUUUGAUCUUUGACAUGAA